AUAUUAUAAUCACUCCACUUCCUUCCCAAUUCUUGUUAGUCAACGUCUCCCCCAAAAUGAAAUGGGAAAGAUUCAGAGAGACAAAUUCAGAAAAACAGGAGAGAGAAAAGGCAGCAGCAUAUUUGGUUUAAUGUGGAGGAACAACUACUCAUCUGAGCUCAAGCUCAUCUUUAUUGCUCUCCUCCUUUUCUGCUCCGUUGCCACCCUCUUUCAAUUCCUACCCACCCGCUUUCUCCCCUUUUCUACCUCCGAUGUCACCUCCUGCCCCACCACCACCACCACCCCACCACCUCCUCAACAACCCUCCGAUCAGAUCCUUGACAACGGAGUCUUAAAACGCUCCUUCUACGUUGUGGGGACCGCCGCGUACAAUUUCGUCUUUAUGUCCGCCUACCGCGGAGGUCCCAACACCUUCGCCGUCAUCGGGCUCUCCUCCAAACCCCUCCACGACUACGGUCAUCCCACCUACAACUGCGAGUACCAGUCCAACAACGGUUCACAUUUUGCAGUCUCAGGGCAAAAACUUUCUUUCCAGGACUUCGGGUUCGCCCGUGCCUAUGUCGUAGUAGUUGUCAAUUGUACAUUCCCUACAGGUACGGACUCUUCUACGGGUGGCCGUCUCCUCCUCCACGCCUCCACUAACGGCGGCUACGAUCGGGAUAUUAACUCAAUUGACACGAUCAUAGCCUUAAACGAACCCCCAAAUUCGUGGCAUCCAUCACAAUUUCUCGCCCCUCCUAAAUACGACUACUUCUACUGCGGUAGCUCAUUGUUCGGUAACCUCAGCCCUCAGAGAGUCCGCGAGUGGAUUGCGUAUCACAUCAGACUGUUCGGAACGAAAUCUCAUUUUGUGUUCAACGAUGCAGGUGGUAUACACCCUGAAGUAAUGGGUGUACUUUUGCCAUGGAUUGAUCUUGGGUUUGUUACAAUACACGAUAUCAAAUAUCAAGAGGAAUUCGAUGGGUUUUAUCAUAACCAAAUGCUUAUACUAAAUGAUUGCUUACAUAGACAUCAAUUCGAUACGAAAUGGAUGUUCUUUUUUGAUGUGGAUGAGUAUAUUUUUUUGCCCGGGGAAUCGUCUCUUGAUUCGAUCAUGGAAACGCUCAAGGAGACAAGGAUUAUACUCUAAUCAAUUUUCAACAAGUAUCUAUGUCAAACAGACUCUGCUUAGCUGAGGAUGCUGGCCAAAUUAAAAUUAACAACCGACAAGCACACACGGCAACACCCACUCCCUCCAGACCACCGCCCAGGCGCCCAGACACAAGUCAGAAGUCGCCACCGCCCACCAAACGUCCAGACCAGCAGCGACUACACGAUGUACAUCCUGCAACGACGAGUCGACGACUACACCCUGCAUCUGCAUCUCACUGAUCAACAAGAACCACGGAUUCUUACUCUUGCAAUAUUGUGUAUAAUUAUAUUGAAGAUGGAGAGCUCUCAAUCCAAAAGAUCUGCUGCUUUUUCUGAAGAAAUGUCACAGCCACUUUCUGAAAAGGAUAUGGAAGAAUUGCAAUCUACUUUGCCUCCAGAUAAGAAGUUAAAAGCGGGGCGGGAAUCGAAUGGAACAGAAAAAGUAAGAGGAUAUGGAAGAAAAUUUGAAAGAGUUACAAGAAAUGGAGAAAGAGGUGCAACAUGAUGUAUCUAACGAUGGAGACGAUGAAGUUGUUUUCGUUGACUCAUUAGUGUGAAUCAAGCAAUCAAAGGGAAAGCAACUCGCCAAAAUUCAAGUUGUCUUUGGAUAAUUUAUGUAUUUCUAGUAUUUGAGACGUAGAGACUUUAUGUAAUUUAAUGAAUUAUUUGUUAUAUUUGAGACUUAUAGAUUUUAUGUA